CAGGCCAUCUGACCAGUUUCACACAGACUGCUACUCCCGUUCUCAGCUUGAUCAAUGGCCACUGAAGAAUUUGAAUGUAAGAACUCCUCAAAACCUUCCAACAGCGGCAGCCUCUAGGACUGACUAGCCUUCACUAAAUGUGCCAGAACAAGACUGACUUUCUGGGCAGUCAUGUGAUUUCCUUAAACCUCAUCGUGAAAUUUUGACCUCCUUUGUGUGUUUUGCCCAGACUCCAGCAAGCAUUCUAAGUUUAAACACUCGUUGAAUUCUGACAUCGCAUGAGCAACACCUUCUUCUGAGCUUGCUGCUUCUUUGUAUGUGAAACCUGCCCUAUGCUUACCUGCAGCCCACAAGCUAGUCUACACGCUCCCUCGUAGUGGUAGAGUGCAUUGCCCUAGACUUCCUGCUGGCCUUCUGAGGCGGGGUAUGUGUAGUUGGCAACUUUGCUGCACGUGGGUUAAUAAUACACUUGGCUGAUUUGGCUCCACAUAGGAGCCUGGUGAGUCUGUGUUCCAGUGGGCCUGAUGAGUCUCCUGGGUAUCAUAGUCAUGGUCUCUCUCACUUGAUGUUGCCUAAGAUAUAGAGGACAAUUUGGUCCACAACCCCUGAAUAGAAUCAAUUAGAGUAUUUGAGGGGCAGUCCAUGUUUUUAAAAAGAACCCUCGUUGGUUAUGGGAAAGGUUGGGGUAUAAAGUUGUAGGGCAAUUGUUCUACCCUAAUGACCUUGCAUAUGUGCUUAGAAGCCCUGCAGGCAAGGCUCUGACUGCAGCUGACCUGCAUCUUGGUAGAAGGUCUUGAGGUCCUCCUUGGAGUCCAGCGGAGCCCAGACUGGGGUGCCACGAACCCUUGUCCUGGCCACCACCAGCUUCAGUGUGGGAUCCCCUAAGAACUGCCAGCUCUUCUCAGAUGAAUCUAUGGCUCGAGGGGUUGAGAGGAUUAAACCAGGAAAGCCAGAUGCUAUAGGAACAGCAGGCUCACCUCACUGACCUCCUCAGGGGACAUGCAGUCUGAGGACCUGGAAGGGGACAGUCUAUGGGAUUCAGGGAGGAAGAAAAAGGGAACUUCAGUCUGAAAUGUGAGUAAAUGCAAAGGCCCAGAGGCAAGAAACACAGGGAGGAUUUCAGCGGUACCAGGCACCCAGUAACCACGUGUGCUGCUAAUUAUUUGCUACUGUAAUCACCUCCUUUUCCUCCUUUGACUUGGGGAAAGGAUACGGCUUGACCAAGAGGCUCCUGGGGCAAUACCUGGACUGUGAAACCAGGUUGCACCAGAAACCCAGCCCUCCUAGCUUCUCCAAGACUGAGUGUACAGCCAGUGCCAACCUCGCCCACUGAGCAGCAAUCCCCUGAGGCAA
rnacentral:lncRNA from 1 species